GACGAACGCUGGCGGCGUGCUUAACACAUGCAAGUCGAACGAUGAAGCCUUAGCUUGCUUUGGUGGAUUAGUGGCGAACGGGUGAGUAACACGUGAGCAACGUGCCCAGGACUCUGGAAUAACCGCGGGAAACCGUGGCUAAUACCGGAUAGGUGCCGAGGCCGCAUGGUCUUCGGUUGGAAAGUUUUUGCGGUUCUGGAUCGGCUCACGGCCUAUCAGCUUGUUGGUGGGGUAAUGGCCUACCAAGGCGACGACGGGUAGCCGGCCUGAGAGGGUGACCGGCCACACUGGGACUGAGACACGGCCCAGACUCCUACGGGAGGCAGCAGUGGGGAAUAUUGCACAAUGGGCGCAAGCCUGAUGCAGCAACGCCGCGUGGGGGAUGACGGCCUUUGGGUUGUAAACCUCUUUUAGUAGGGAAGAAGCGCAAGUGACGGUACCUGCAGAAAAAGCACCGGCUAACUACGUG
rnacentral:rRNA from 1 species